UGCAAGGAAAUGAUGAAAAAGAGAAAGUGAUGAAAAGUGACAGCCGUUGCAGAAAAUAACAAAAAAAUUGACCUCAUGUCAGGAUGGGUGGCUUCCAUGAUCACGAAUCCGAAGCCUCUACAUGUUACUAGAUGUGUACGGGCAACGAUAAUGGGUUAAGAUCAGGAAAUCAAAGCCCACCUCAACCAUAAAACUCGUGUUCGAAUUAGUGUGCUGAGAGGCAUGGGUCAUAGCGGAGUGCGUGCUCUCUACGGAGGACACCCAGGAGGUGGUCGAGUCCCCCGAGCCGGAGCGAACCGAGCCACCGCCGUGCUUGUCCAAGUCGCCCGCACUGCGCGGCUUGCCGAGCCU